rnacentral:rRNA from 1 species
GAUGAACGCUGGCGGCGUGCUUAACACAUGCAAGUCGAACGGAAAGGCCCAAGUUUGCUUGGGUACUCGAGUGGCGAACGGGUGAGUAACAUGUGGGUGAUCUGGCCUGCACUUCGGGAUAAGCAUGGGAAACUGGGAGUAAUACAGGAUAGGAGGAUGGUGUGGAUGCCAUUGUGGAAAGGUCUUUCGGUGUGGGAUGAGCUCGCGGCCUAUCAGCUUGUUGGUGGGGUAAUGGCCUACCAAGGCGUCGACGGGUAGCCGGCCUGAGAGGGUGUACGGCCACAGUAGAACUGUGCUACGGCCCAGACUCCUACAUAAGGCAGCAGUGGGGAAUAUUGCACAAUGAGCGCAAGCCUGAUGCAGCGACGCCUCGUGGGGGAUGACGGCCUUCGGGUUGUAGACUCCUUACUCUAGGAACAAAUCGUUUUUUUGACGGUACCUGGAGAAGAAGCACCGGCUAACUACGUG